GAUGAACGCUGGCGGCGUGCCUAAUACAUGCAAGUCGAGCGAACGGACGAGAAGCUUGCUUCUCUGAUGUUAGCGGCGGACGGGUGAGUAACACGUGGAUAACCUACCUAUAAGACUGGGAUAACUUCGGGAAACCGGAGCUAAUACCGGAUAAUAUUUUGAACCGCAUGGUUCAAAAGUGAAAGACGGUCUUGCUGUCACUUAUAGAUGGAUCCGCGCUGCAUUAGCUAGUUGGUAAGGUAACGGCUUACCAAGGCAACGACGCAUAGCCGACCUGAGAGGGUGAUCGGCCACACUGGAACUGAGAAACGGUCCAGACUCCUACGGGAGGGAGCAGUAGGGAAUCUUCCGCAAUGGGCGAAAGCCUGACGGAGCAACGCCGCGUGAGAGAUGAAGGUCUUCGGAUCGUAAAACUCUGUUAUUAGGGAAGAACAUAUGUGUAAGUAACUGUGCACAUCUUGACGGUACCUAAUCAGAAAGCCACGGCUAACUACGUG
rnacentral:rRNA from 1 species